rnacentral:rRNA from 1 species
UUGAACGCUGGCGGCAGGCCUAACACAUGCAAGUCGAACGGUAACAGAAAGAAGCUUGCUUCUUUGCUGACGAGUGGCGGACGGGUGAGUAAUGUCUGGGAAACUGCCCGAUGGAGGGGGAUAACUACUGGAAACGGUAGCUAAUACCGCAUAACGUCGCAAGACCAAAGAGGGGGACCUUCGGGCCUCUUGCCAUCGGAUGUGCCCAGAUGGGAUUAGCUAGUAGGCGGGGUAACGGCCCACCUAGGCGACGAUCUCUAGCUGGUCUGAGAGGAUGACCAGCCACACUGGAACUGAGACACGGUCCAGACUCCUACGGGAGGCAGCAGUGGGGAAUAUUGCACAAUGGGCGCAAGCCUGAUGCAGCCAUGCCGCGUGUAUGAAGAAGGCCUUCGGGUUGUAAAGUACUUUCAGCGGGGAGGAAGGGAGUAAAGUUAAUACCUUUGCUCAUUGACGUUACCCGCAGAAGAAGCACCGGCUAACUCCGUGCCAGCAGCCGCGGUAAUACGGAGGGUGCAAGCGUUAAUCGGAAUUACUGGGCGUAAAGCGCACGCAGGCGGUUUGUUAAGUCAGAUGUGAAAUCCCCGGGCUCAACCUGGGAACUGCAUCUGAUACUGGCAAGCUUGAGUCUCGUAGAGGGGGGUAGAAUUCCAGGUGUAGCGGUGAAAUGCGUAGAGAUCUGGAGGAAUACCGGUGGCGAAGGCGGCCCCCUGGACGAAGACUGACGCUCAGGUGCGAAAGCGUGGGGAACAAACAGGAUUAGAUACCCUGGUAGUCCACGCCGUAAACGAUGUCGACUUGGAGGUUGUGCCCUUGAGGCGUGGCUUCCGGAGCUAACGCGUUAAGUCGACCGCCUGGGGAGUACGGCCGCAAGGUUAAAACUCAAAUGAAUUGACGGGGGCCCGCACAAGCGGUGGAGCAUGUGGUUUAAUUCGAUGCAACGCGAAGAACCUUACCUGGUCUUGACAUCCACAGAACUUUCCAGAGAUGGAUUGGUGCCUUCGGGAACUGUGAGACAGGUGCUGCAUGGCUGUCGUCAGCUCGUGUUGUGAAAUGUUGGGUUAAGUCCCGCAACGAGCGCAACCCUUAUCCUUUGUUGCCAGCGGUCCGGCCGGGAACUCAAAGGAGACUGCCAGUGAUAAACUGGAGGAAGGUGGGGAUGACGUCAAGUCAUCAUGGCCCUUACGACCAGGGCUACACACGUGCUACAAUGGCGCAUACAAAGAGAAGCGACCUCGCGAGAGCAAGCGGACCUCAUAAAGUGCGUCGUAGUCCGGAUUGGAGUCUGCAACUCGACUCCAUGAAGUCGGAAUCGCUAGUAAUCGUGGAUCAGAAUGCCACGGUGAAUACGUUCCCGGGCCUUGUACACACCGCCCGUCACACCAUGGGAGUGGGUUGCAAAAGAAGUAGGUAGCUUAACCUUCGGGAGGGCGCUUACCACUUUGUGAUUCAUGACUGGGGUG